rnacentral:rRNA from 1 species
AUUGAACGCUGGCGGCAGGCUUAACACAUGCAAGUCGAGCGGAGCGAGGGUGCUUGCACCUUAGCUUAGCGGCGGACGGGUGAGUAAUGCUUAGGAAUCUGCCUAUUAGUGGGGGACAACAUUCCGAAAGGAAUGCUAAUACCGCAUACGCCCUACGGGGAAAGCAGGGGAUCUUCGGACCUUGCGCUAAUAGAUGAGCCUAAGUCGGAUUAGCUAGUUGGUGGGGUAAAGGCCUACCAAGGCGACGAUCUGUAGCGGGUCUGAGAGGAUGAUCCGCCACACUGGGACUGAGACACGGCCCAGACUCCUACGGGAGGCAGCAGUGGGGAAUAUUGGACAAUGGGCGCAAGCCUGAUCCAGCCAUGCCGCGUGUGUGAAGAAGGCCUUUGGUUGUAAAGCACUUUAAGCGAGGAGGAGGGCUACUUAGAUUAAUACUCUAGGAUAGUGGACGUUACUCGCAGAAUAAGCACCGACUAACUCUGUGCCAGCAGCCG